rnacentral:rRNA from 1 species
UACGUAGGGUGCAAGCGUUAAUCGGAAUUACUGGGCGUAAAGCGUGCGCAGGCGGUGAUGUAAGACAGAUGUGAAAUCCCCGGGCUCAACCUGGGAACUGCAUUUGUGACUGCAUCGCUGGAGUACGGCAGAGGGGGAUGGAAUUCCGCGUGUAGCAGUGAAAUGCGUAGAUAUGCGGAGGAACACCGAUGGCGAAGGCAAUCCCCUGGGCCUGUACUGACACUCAUGCACGAAAGCGUGGGGAGCAAACAGG